rfam:Cavia porcellus supercont2_11 genomic scaffold, whole genome shotgun sequence.
GGGGAUAUAGCUCAGUGGCACAGCACCUGCUUGGCAAGUACAAGGUCCUGAGUUUGAUUCCCAGUACCGUCU